GAUCAUGGCUCAGGACGAACGCUGGCGGCGCGCCUAACACAUGCAAGUCGAACGGAGAUUACAGGCGGAAGUUUUCGGAUGGAAGCUUGUAAACUUAGUGGCGGACGGGUGAGUAACUCGUGAGCAACCUGCCUAUCAGAGGGGGAUAACGAUUGGAAACGAUCGCUAAUACCGCAUGACAUAGCGGAAUCGCAUGGUUCUGUUAUCAAAGAUUUUAUCGCUGAUAGAUGGG
rnacentral:rRNA from 1 species